GCCCCCGACGCGGAGAAAUGACGUCACUCGAACCAGGGAGCGCCGCCUACCUUACAGAGGAGGUAACUGGCUGCCUGCCCAUCAUGCCCAGCGCCCCCCUUUGGUGGGAAAAUGACCGCCUAUCCGUCUGAAUCAGUCUAGUGAUACCCUUCGGGGAGUAAUUAACCUGCAGUCCGUUGACUACAGACACCAAGGGCUCCUUAAGGCGCCAAGGCACUCACAGGACAACCAUCUCAUAACAAAUUCCAUCUACUCCCUGAUAAGACAACUCUAAGCAUGUUUUUGGUUUUGAAAAAGCUGUCUAAUGUGUGAGUCAAACGUGAACAUUCAAACCCAGGUUGAAUGGAAUAAUAGUUCCAGUGGAACUUCUGAAACAAUGCCUUACAGAAAUUGUUAAGAGCUAGCACACACUCAAGACAUCCAAGGCAAUCAUUAUAAUUUGUUUUGUUUUGGGCUGGAGAGAUGGCUCAGUGGUUAAGAGCACUGACUGCUCUUCCAGAGGUCCUGAGUUCAAUUCCCAGCAACCACAUGGAGGCUCACAGCCAUCUGUAAUGAGAUCUGAUGUCCUCUUCUGGUGUGUCUGAAGACAGCUACAGUGUACUCAUAUUAAUAAAAAUAAAUAGAUCUCUAAAAAA